rnacentral:rRNA from 1 species
UACGUAGGGUGCGAGCGUUGUCCGGAAUUAUUGGGCGUAAAGAGCUUGUAGGCGGUUUGUCGCGUCUGCUGUGAAAAUCCGGGGCUCAACCCCGGACUUGCAGUGGGUACGGGCAGACUAGAGUGUGGUAGGGGAGACUGGAAUUCCUGGUGUAGCGGUGGAAUGCGCAGAUAUCAGGAGGAACACCAAUGGCGAAGGCAGCUCGCUGGGACGGUACUGACGCUGAGGCGCGAAAGCGUGGGGAGCAAACAGG